rnacentral:rRNA from 1 species
UAGGGAAUAUUGGACAAUGGGUGAGAGCCUGAUCCAGCCAUGCCGCGUGCAGGAAGAAGGCGUUAUGCGUUGUAAACUGCUUUUGCCAGGGGAUAAAAAGACCGUGCGCGGUUAAUUGAAGGUACCUGGUGAAUAAGCCACGGCUAACUCUGUGCCAGCAGCCGCGGUAAGACAGAGGGUGCAAGCGUUGUUCGGAAUCAUUGGGCGUAAAGGGCGCGUAGGUGGCUGUAUAAGUCAGAUGUGAAAUCCUAGAGCUCAACUCUAGAAGUGCAUCUGAUACUGUAUAGCUUGAGUCUCAGAGAGGAUGGAGGAAUUCCCAGUGUAGAGGUGAAAUUCGUAGAUAUUGGGAGGAACAUCGGUGGCGAAGGCGUCCAUCUGGAUGAAGACUGACACUGAGGCGCGAAAGCGUGGGGAGCAAACAGGAUUAGAUACCCACGUAGUCCCUGAGCGGGCUGGCAAGGCGCAU